rnacentral:rRNA from 1 species
UACGGGGGGGGCAAGCGUUGUUCGGAAUUACUGGGCGUAAAGGGCUCGUAGGCGGCCAACUAAGUCGGACGUGAAAUCCCUCGGCUUAACCGGGGAACGACGUCCGAUACUGGAUGGCUUGAGUUUGGGAGAGGGAUGCGGAAUUCCAGGUGUAGCGGUGAAAUGCGUAGAUAUUGGGAGGAACACCAGUGGCGAAAGCGGCUACCUGGACCGGAACUGACGCUGAUGCGCGAAAGCGUGGGUAGCAAACAGG